AACCUUCCUUUUAUGGGGAAUAGCCCAGAGAAAUUUGGAUUAUACCCGUAACAUAGCGAUGAGGCAUCUCAUUGCUAUUAUAGCUUCGGCGCUAGAUGAUGGGUGUGCGUAUGAUUAGAUAGUUGGCGAGGUACGGCUCACAAGUCUAGAUCAUUAGCUGAUGUGAGAGCAUGCUCAGCCACUCGGGCACUGAGACACGGGCCCGACUCCUACGGGAGGCAUCAGU
rnacentral:rRNA from 1 species